GGAUUCUCAGGUCUGGGGGCAGAGCCAGGACGAGCAGGUCCCCCAGGUGCUCCUGGUCCUCCAGGAAAGUCUGGACAAGAUGGCAGUCCUGGGCCACAUGGUGAUAGGGGCUUCACAGGGAAUGUUGGCAUGGAGGGUCCCCAGGGGCCAGUGGGCAUGUAUGGUUAUCCAGGAGCAGUGGGUUUAACUGGGAGACCUGGUCAUUUUGGAGAGAGGGGAGACCCUGGUGUGAGAGGCUCCGCUGGUAUACCUGGGAAGAGUGGACCACUGG